rnacentral:tRNA from 1 species
GCAGGAAUAGCUCAGGGGUAGAGCUUCUCCUUGCCAAGGAGAAGGCCGCGGGUUCGAAUCCCGUUUCCUGCU